UAGUAUGUGGUGUAAUGAAUGGGAGCACAAAGGGUUUUGAGUUCUUUGGUAUAGGUUCGAGUCCUGUUGUCCUAG
rnacentral:tRNA from 1 species